rnacentral:rRNA from 1 species
AUGCCAUCGAAAGUCUAAGGUUUCCUGGGGAAGGUUCGUCCGCCCAGGGUAAGUCGGGACCUAAGGAGAGGCCGAAAGGCGUAUCUGAUGGACAGCAGGUAGAAAUUCCUGCACCACCGAUAUACUUAAAAAAUGCAAGGGACACAGUAGUGGAAGGAAAGCGAGGAAGAGGAAAGACUCGUAUCGAAAGAUAUAGUGAAAAAAUAAGUAACGAAUUUCCAAGAAGCACACUGGCGAGAAAAGCUUGUAGGAAUUGUAUAAAGGUGCCCGUACCGCAAACCGACACAGGUAGAUGAGGAGAGGAUCCUAAGAUGAGCGAGAGAAGCAUUGUUAAGGAACUCGGCAAAUUGACCCCGUAACUUAGGGAGAAGGGGUGCCAAAGUAAAAUUUGGUCGCAGAGAAGAGGCCCAAGCAACUGUUUAACAAAAACACAGGUUUCUGCUAAAUCGAAAGAUGAAGUAUAGGAGCUGACGCCUGCCCAGUGCUGGAAGGUUAAGGGGAAGAGUUAGAUGUAAGUCGAAGCUUAGAACCAAAGCCCCAGUGAACGGCGGCCGUAACUAUAACGGUCCUAAGGUAGCGAAAUUCCUUGUCAGGUAAGUUCUGACCCGCACGAAAGGCGUAAUGAUUUGGGCGCUGUCUCGACAAUGUACUCGGCGAAAUUGUAGUACUAGUGAAGAUGCUAGUUACCUGCGACAAGACAGAAAGACCCCAUGGAGCUUUACUGCAACUUGAUACUGGGUCUAGGUAAUUUAUGUACAGGAUAGGUGGGAGACUAUGAAACUUUGGCGCUAGCUGAAGUGGAGUCAUCCUUGGGAUACCACCCUUAAGUUACUUGGAUUCUAACCUGCCGUCAUAAACUGGCGGGGGGACAAUGUCAGGUGGGCAGUUUGACUGGGGCGGUCGCCUCCUAAAGAGUAACGGAGGCGCGCAAAGGUUUCCUCAGCGCGGACAGAAAUCGCGCGAAAGAGUGCAAAGGCAGAAGGAAGCUUAACUGAGAGACUGACAAGUCGACCAGAUACGAAAGUAGGUCUUAGUGAUCCGGCGGUAGUGAGUGGAAAUGCCGUCGCUCAACGGACAAAAGUUACCCUGGGGAUAACAGGCUUAUCUCCCCCAAGAGUUCACAUCGACGGGGAGGUUUGGCACCUCGAUGUCGGCUCAUCACAUCCUGGAGCGGAAGUACGUUCCAAGGGUUGGGCUGUUCGCCCAUUAAAGUGGUACGCGAGCUGGGUUCAGAACGUCGUGAGACAGUUCGGUCCUUAUCUGUCGCAGGCGAAGGAUAUUUGAGGGGAGUUGACCUUAGUACGAGAGGACCAGGUUGAACUUACCAAUGGUGUAUCAGUUGUCGUACCAACGGCACGGCUGAGUAGCUAAGUAGGGAAGGGAUAAACGCUGAAAGCAUCUAAGUGUGAAGCCCACCCCAAGAUAAGAUAUCCCAUACCGUAAGGUAGUAAGAUUCCACGUAGACUAUGUGGUAGAUAGGUUGGAGGUGUAAGUGCAGUAAUGCAUUAAGCUGACCAAUACUAAUAAAUCGAGGGCUUAACCAC